rnacentral:lncRNA from 1 species
GCUGCUCGCGGGGCAGGGGAUGGGUUGGGGUACAGGGGAUUCUCCCAGCCGCAUGGAAGGGCGCCGUCUCAGGGGAUGCUCCGGCCGCUGGUGGACAAUCCAGGUGAGAUCACUCCCAAAUUCAUUCUGAUCCGAGGGCAGACGACGACUACACCGGUCUUCGUUUUAGGUGGAGGUGGGUGCCCAAGAAAUCAAGGCAUACGACCGAGCGCGGGGUUCGUUCUUGGAUUGUAACCUUCGGUAACUUCGUUUCUUGCAGUUCUCGGGCGCGGCCCAUGGUCGGGGCAGAGGGGAAGGGGAUUCGCUCCGCCGCCACGGCAGGCUUUUCCAGGGCAGACGGCGACUACACCGGCCUUCGCUUUAGGUGGAGGUGGGUGCCCAAGAAAUCAAGGCAUACGAGCUUGGGUUGAUCAUGUCGUUUCUUGGAUUGUAACAUCCCAUUGCUUCGUUUCUUAUCUUCUUGCAGACAGGAACAGGGGGUUCUCCCAGCCGCAUGGAAGGGCGCCGUCUCAGGGGAUGCUCCGGCCGCUGGUGGACAAUCCAGGUGAGUUCACUCCCAAAUUCAUUCUGAUCCGUGCGUUUCUUGGUUCUUCAUUGACGUCGGAGUUGGAUUUCCUGGUUUCUGUUGCAGCCGGUACAUCGGCGCAGCCAUCAGGGACGACGGCGAAUGCAGCCGGCGACGGCAUUGCGGGGAUUUCGCAGGCUCUUGCGGGGCUUACGACGGCGACUACAGGCUCCGCCGGCGGCUCUUCCCAGUUCGGUGGAGGUGGGUGCCCAAGAAAUCAAAGCAUACGAGUUUGGGUUGAUCAUGUCGUUUCUUGGAUUGUAACAUCCCAUUGCUUCGUUUCUUAUCUUCUUGCAGACAGGAACAGGGGGUUCUCCCAGCCGCAUGGAAGGGCGCCGUCUCAGGGGAUGCUCCGGCCGCUGGUGGACAAUCCAGGUGAGUUCACUCCCAAAUUCAUUCUGAUCCGUGCGGUUCUUGGUUCUUCAUUGACGUCGGAGUUGGAUUUCCUGGUUUCUGUUGCAGCCGGUGCGCGUCCGCCCUUCCCGUACCUGUACCACGCGCCGACCGGCAAUGGUUUCUUCAACGCCCAGAACCAGAUCGCCGGCCACUUGCAGACGGGAACAGGGCAGCAGCAGAUGCCAUCUCAGGGGAUGCUCCGGCCGCCGCCAGGCAAUCCAGGUGAGUUCCCUCCCAAGAAAAGCGCCAAAUUCUUUCUGAUCCGCGCGGUUCUUGGUUCUUGAUUGACGCCGGAGUUGGAUUUCAUGGUUCUUCAUUGACGCCGGAGUUGGAUUUCCAUGUUUCUGUUGCAGCCGGUGGGCGUCCGCCCUACCCGUACCAGAACCACGCGCCGACCGGCAAUGGUUCGCUCUCCGGCCAGACNN